CACGUAGGGCGCAAGCGUUGUCCGGAAUUAUUGGGCGUAAAGAGCUCGUAGGCGGUCUGUUACGUCUGCUGUGAAAACCCGGGGCUUAACCCUGGGCUUGCAGUGGAUACGGGCAGACUAGAGGCAGGUAGGGGAGAAUGGAAUUCCCGGUGUAGCGGUGAAAUUCGUAGAUAUCGGGAGGAACACCAGCGGCGAAGGCGGCGACCUGGGUGGAUACUGACGCUGAGGUGCGAGAGCGUGGGGAGCAAACAGG
rnacentral:rRNA from 1 species